AACGGUGUUUGUAGUUAAUGGAGGCGAUUGGUAGUAAAUAAAUUUGUAGAUUGUGUGCAAGAGAAGAUGAGUUAUGUAUAGACGUUUAUGGCGAGGAUGGAAUAAAACACAGUAUAGCGAAGAAAAUCAGGCUGUGUUUACCUAUUGCAAUGAUAGAGCAGCUAAAAGAGUUUGUUGCUGACCUUGGCCGACCAUAGGUGGCGCGGUUGGGUACCAAAAUGGCUACCAUGCAGGAGAAAGCGAUGCACAUUCUGUGGUUUCAUGAAAACAAAUCUGUAAUAACUGUUCAAAGACGGUUUUGUUCAGAGUACAACUAUGAUCCUCCUAGUAAGAACUCCAUAAAUCGUUGGUAUCAGCAAUUUAAGGAUACAGGAAAUGUAGAACAUAGGAAAGGUGCUGGCAGACCACAGGUCUCCGAAGACGUUGGUGAUUGAGUGAGAGAAGCUUUUACGAGAAGCCCAGGUAAAUCAACUCGUCACGCGAGUUUGGAAUUGGGAAUACCUCGAUUGACAGUUAUGAAGGUUAUGCAUAAGCUCUUAAAACUUCAUGCAUACAAAAUCCAGUUGUUGCAUGCAGUACAAGUUGAUAAACCACGUCGUUAUAUUUCGCCGUGUGCAUCCUUGAUGAAAUCGACCAAGAUAACUCUUUCUUAGAAAAAUAAUCUUCUCUGAUGAAGCAACCUUCCACGUUUCCGGUUAUGUUAACUGUCACAAUUGUCAGAUUUGGGGUGCAGAAAACCCUCAUGAAGUUCGAGAGAAAGAACGAGAUAGCCCAAAAGUUAAUGUGUGGGGCGCAUUGGCUGUAGAUGAAGCGAUCUGACCAUUCUUCUUCAUCAAGCCUACAGUGACUAGCACUACAUACCUCAACAUGUUAAGAGGGUUAUGCAAUACCACAAAUGGAACACUGACAACUGAACGUUUACUUCCAGCAAGAUGGCGCACCUCUACACUGGGGUUUAAUUGUUUGGAACUUCCUACAGGAAAAAUUUCCUGAAUGUUGGAUUGGCCGCGGAGGACCGAUUCCCUGGCCACCUCAAUCCCCCGACAUUACACCCCUGGAUUUUUUCUUUGGGGGUUUGUCAAAGUCAGGGUGUACACAAGGAAUGUUCGCGACAUUGGUGAACUAAAAAGACGAAUCAGUGGAGUCAUUGGAGGAAUAACUGCCGAAAUGCUCCGUAAGACAUGGCGUGGAAUUGAAUACCACCUGGAUAUUUUAUGUGCCACACAUGCAGCUCAUGUGAAAGUUUAUGAAAGUGGUAAAAUGUUGUAAAUAAAACUAUUUGAAAUGGCCUAUUAAAGAAAACAACAUACACGCAAAUGUUAUUGCACAGCAGCAGCCUACUGUGAGCUGGAGUAAACCUUUCAUGAAAUUUGGCAAAACUAUAGUAAAACUGCAAGAUAUAUCCAGUAAAAAGAGAAGUAAUGAACCAAGACCAAAAGUAAGAUGAUUUGAAACUGAAAGACAUCAUAACCUGAAUUUGGAAUGUGGUAGUGGUGAUUCUAAUGGUAUUGGUUCCACAUUGCCAUCUGUGUCAUUAGAUGAUGAUGAAAGUACACAGACCCCUCAACAGGUUUCCCAGUUUGGUCCACCAACUGAAGAUUUGUCACAAUAUAAUGUGGUUCCAUCCAGUGAGAUGUAUGUACAACGGCUUCAGAACAGCAGCAGUUUAGGGCAACUGGUAUAGUGUCUAAAGCAUCAUCAGUUGGCCGGCAUGUAGUGAAUAUUCCUACAAGUACAGGAUCAAAGAUUUUAGGAACUUUUCCUAGUGUAGGAACCCAGUCAGAAUCUGAUGUGGCAGUGACAUUGAAUGAGCAGUCAGUAUGUGAUUCCUUCAUCUGUGGAUUUUGCUGUACCAGUUAUUAUUCAACAACCAAUGCAUAGCGCUGUAAGACGGCCACAGAUGUACAUCCCAAAUUCUGUAAACAGUUUAUCAACAGGCAAGCAGGAUGGUUCAAUUGCUGACAGCUUGAAUUCUGCCAAUCAGUUGAAAAAUCAAACGUCACUGUUACUGCAAAAGAUGGUGGAAGUUAAAUUGCAGGAAAUUAAACAUGUAGAGAAACAAACACCAAAACAUUAGUUCAAUCAGCUUUAGCAGGCAAAACAGCAUCUGCUAUAUUCUUUACCAGAGAAUGGAGAAACUACUCUGUGUGCAAUUGCACCUGUUACAAAAGCCAAGACUCAAGAUAUGAUUUCAAAACCAGGUCUUAGUUUCAUGUUCCCUGCUGACAGUGUACGACUAAACCGACCCCCAAAUGUAUUAAUUACAACUUCCAGUAAUGUGGUGCCUUCUCAACAACAAAACACAUGGUCUCUGACCACUUCACCUUCUUCAGUAGGGAAGAUUAAAACCAAAACAGCUUCAUUGUUACAAUUACCUGCUGAAGCCAGAAAAAUAGCACAUGUGGCUCCAAGACUGUCAGCAAAAAGUUGCCAGAUUAAUGUUUCUAAUGCCAUUCAAAACAGUUCAUCUUUUGGUGUUAAUCAGCAGGUAGUGGAUUUGGAGAGGGAGCGUCUGUCCUCAAGUGCUUCCUGUUCAUGCCCAGGGUGUUUCUUCAGAAGAUAAUGGAACAGCUGCUACCAGUGCAGUUAAUGGCACUGUGACAGGAGCCACAGUUGCAAGAAUUCCCACUGCAGAUUCAGCGUCUGUGUUACUCGCAGUUAAAGACGUCCCUGAUGACUACUGAGAAAACUUCCAGGAAUGCAAAUGUCACUACAGUCUGCUCUCCCACUGCCACCUCUGCAAUUGCUGCCAGCAACAUGACUGCUGAUGAUCACUGAAGAAAAUACGAGACAUCUUUGUCAGUACUGCAACAAAACUUUUCCAGAAAACAUCAUUGUACAUCACAGAAAACUUCAUUUCAGAUAGUGUUUCUUCAUUUGCAUAGCAUGUGGUAAAAACUUCCGCACAGAAGUUGGUUUAGAGAAACUUAGGUGUGAAGGCUCUGCGGAUUAAGCAAGAUGAUUUUCUCGCUGCAAAGAGUGUGUGACGUACAUGCCUUUCCUUUGUUCUUCUCUUUUAUGAAAAAUAUGUGGACACUCUUAUUUCAGAAUUGGCAAUUUGUUUAUACAAGUUACUAGCUGUGAACAGAUGGUAUUAUGAUGUAGCAUUUAUAUUUAACUGCAUUUACUUCAUUAGUCAUUCUGAAACUCUUAUACUGUGUAACACUUUCUUAAAGUAAAAUACCACUUGCAUCCUAUAGAUGUAAAGUUAAAACUUUCAAAUAAAGCUCUUAAUUUGAGACUG